rfam:Verticillium longisporum isolate VL1 genome assembly, contig: scaffold_12
GAUUAUAUAGUCUAGUAGUAUAAUAUCUAGUAUUUAUAGUAGAAGACGUAGGUUCGAAUCCUACCCUAAUUA